rnacentral:misc_RNA from 1 species
GUGAAUCAUCGAAUUUUUGAACGCAAAUUGCACUUUCUGGUAUUCCGGGAAGUAUGCCUGUUUGAGGGUCAGUUAUAUAUUAAUCGUUGUUAUUGCUAUUAACGGUUAUGCAUCGUAAUUGAGUCGUCUUUACCUUUGGUUUUAGUUUACUUAAAAUUAUGUACGAUUUCUGUACGUAUUUAAAUUAUUUACUUACGCUCAUGAUAUCACAUAUUAGGUGCGUUCAUCCACAUGAUUUCGCGCCUAUCAUUUUUCAUUAUUUGACCUCAAAUCAGGUAAGAAGACCCGCUUAACUUAAUCA